rnacentral:rRNA from 1 species
CCUACGUGUGGCAGCAGUCGAGAAUCAUUCACAAUGGGGGAAACCCUGAUGGUGCGACGCCGCGUGGGGGAAUGAAGGUCUUCGGAUUGUAAACCCCUGUCAUGUGGGAGCAAAUUAAAAAGAUAGUACCACAAGAGGAAGAGACGGCUAACUCUGUGCCAGCAGCCGCGGUAAUACAGGGGUCUCAAGCGUUGUUCGGAAGCACUGGGCGUAAAGCUGGCGUAGGCUGUUUCGUAAGCCGGGUGUGAAAGGCGCGGGCUCAACCCGCGGACGGCACAUGAUACUGCGAGACUAGAGUAAUGGAGGGGGAACCGGAAUUCUCGGUGUAGCAGUGAAAGGCGUAGAUAUCGAGAGGAACACUCGUGGCGAAGGCGGGUUCCUGGACAUUAACUGACGCUGAGGCACGAAGGCCAGGGGAGCGAAAGGGAUUAGAUACCCCGGUAGUC